GUGGUCGCUGCUGACAAAUGUUCAGGAGAGGAAAGUCCGGGCUUCAGAGGGCAGGGCGGUCGGUAACGCCGACCAGUCGAGAGGCUAGGGAAAGUGCAACAGAAAGCAGACCGCCAGUGCGCUAUUGCGCGUUUGGCAAGGGUGAAACGGUGAGGUAAGAGCUCACCAGUAUUCGGGGUGACUCGAGUAGCUAGGUAAACCCCGCCCGAAGCAAGAUCAAACAGAGGGGAGCAAUGCGAGCCGGCUCGGCUCGCCACCACCUUCGGGUAGAUCGCUCGAGGCUGCAAGCAAUUGCAGUCCUAGAUAAAUGACCAU
rnacentral:RNase_P_RNA from 1 species